CCUACGGGAGGCAGCAGUGGGGAAUAUUGGACAAUGGGGGGAACCCUGAUCCAGCGACGCCGCGUGAGUGAAGAAGUAUUUCGGUAUGUAAAGCUCUAUCAGCAGGGAAGAAAGAAAUGACGGUACCUGACUAAGAAGCCCCGGCUAACUACGUGCCAGCAGCCGCGGUAAUACGUAGGGGGCAAGCGUUAUCCGGAUGUACUGGGUGUAAAGGGAGCGUAGACGGCGAUGCAAGUCUGAAGUGAAAGGCGGGGGCCCAACCUCCGGACUGCGUUGGAAACUGUAUGGCUGGAGUGCAGGAGAGGUAAGUGGAAUUCCUAGUGUAGCGGUGAAAUGCGUAGAGAUUAGGAGGAACACCAGUGGCGAAGGCGGCUUACUGGACUGUAACUGACGUUGAGGCUCGAAAGCGUGGGGAGCAAACAGGAUUAGAUACCCUUGUAGUC
rnacentral:rRNA from 1 species